rnacentral:rRNA from 1 species
UUAACACAUGCAAGUCGAACGGUAACAUUGGAGCUUGCUCCAGAUGACGAGUGGCGGACGGGUGAGUAAUGCAUAGGAAAUUGCCGAUUAGUGGGGGACAACAUGUGGAAACGCAUGCUAAUACCGCAUACGCCCUACGGGGGAAAGGUGGCCAAUCCUUGGAAGCUACCGCUAAUUGAUGUGCCUAUGUCUGAUUAGCUAGUUGGUGGGGUAAUGGCCCACCAAGGCGACGAUCAGUAGCUGGUCUGAGAGGAUGAUCAGCCACACUGGGACUGAGACACGGCCCAGACUCCUACGGGAGGCAGCAGUGGGGAAUAUUGGACAAUGGGGGCAACCCUGAUCCAGCAAUACCGCGUGUGUGAAGAAGGCUCGAGGGUCGUAAAGCACUUUCAAUAGUGAAGAUUGGAAUACAGGUUAAUACCCUGUGUUUUUGACGUUAACUAUACAAGAAGCACCGGCUAACUCAGUGCCAGCAGCCGCGGUAAUACUGAGGGUGCAAGCGUUAAUCGGAAUUACUGGGCGUAAAGCGCGCGUAGGCGGUAAGUUAAGUUGGAUGUGAAAUCCCUGGGCUCAACCUAGGAACUGCAUUCAAAACUGGCUCACUAGAGUAUGGUAGAGGUAAGUGGAAUUCCAGGUGUAGCGGUGAAAUGCGUAGAUAUCUGGAGGAACAUCAGUGGCGAAGGCGACUUACUGGGCCAAUACUGACGCUGAGGUGCGAAAGCAUGGGUAGCAAACGGGAUUAGAUACCCCGGUAGUCCAUGCCGUAAACGAUGUCAACUAGCCGUUGGGCCCGUUAGGGUUUAGUGGCGCAGCUAACGCAUUAAGUUGACCGCCUGGGGAGU